GAUUCCCCUAGUAACUGCGAGUGAAGCGGGAAAAGCUCAAAUUUGAAAUCUGGCGGCUCCGUCGCCCGAGUUGUAUUCUGGAGAAGCGUUUUCCGUGCCGGACCGUGUACAAGUCCCUUGGAACAGGGCGUCAUAGAGGGUGAGAAUCCCGUCUUUGACACGGACUCCCGGUGCUAUGUGAUGCGCUCUCGAAGAGUCGAGUUGUUUGGGAAUGCAGCUCAAAAUGGGUGGUAAAUUCCAUCUAAAGCUAAAUAUUGGCGAGAGACCGAUAGCGAACAAGUACCGUGAGGGAAAGAUGAAAAGCACUUUGGAAAGAGAGUAAAACAGUACGUGAAAUUGUUGAAAGGGAAACGCUUGAAGUCAGUCGCGUCUGCCGGAACUCAGCCUUGCUUCUGCUCGGUGCACUUUCCGGUUCGACGGGCCAGCAUCGGUUUUGGGCGGCGGACACUGGCGCGGGGAAGGUGGCAGCUCCGGCUGUGUUAUAGCCCCGCGUCGCAAACGCCGUCCGGGACCGAGGAAUCCGGCGCAAGCCUGGGAUGCUGGCGUAAUGGCUUUAAACGACCCGUCUUGAAACACGGACCAAGGAGUGCUACACGCUCGCGAGUGUUUGGGUGGAAAACCCGGACGCGCAAUGAAAGUGAAAGUCGAUACCCCUCGCGGGGGCACCGACGCCCGAGCCUGAUGUUUUCGGAAGGCCUUGCGGUAGAGCGAGUGCGUUGCGACCCGAAAGAUGGUGAACUAUUCCUGAGGAGGGCGAAGCCAGAGGAAACUCUGGUGGAGGCUCGUAGCGGUUCUGACGUGCAAAUCGAUCGCAGGACUUGGGUAUAGGGGCGAAAGACUAAUCG
rnacentral:rRNA from 1 species